rnacentral:rRNA from 1 species
UACGGAGGGUGCGAGCGUUGUCCGGAAUCAUUGGGCGUAAAGGGCGUGUAGGUGGCUUCUUAAGCGUGCGGUGAAAGCCUGGGGCUCAACCCCGGGUCGGCCGUGCGAACUGGGGGGCUGGAGCACUGUAGAGGCAGGCGGAAUUCCGGGUGUAGCGGUGGAAUGCGUAGAGAUCCGGAAGAACACCGGUGGCGAAGGCGGCCUGCUGGGCAGUUGCUGACACUGAGGCGCGACAGCGUGGGGAGCAAACAGGG